rnacentral:rRNA from 1 species
AGCAGCCGCGGUAAUUCCAGCUCCAAUAGCGUAUAUUAAAGUUGUUGCAGUUAAAAAGCUCGUAGUUGAAUUUUGGGUUUGGCCGAUUGGUCCGUUCUUGUAACGAGUACUGGUCGGUUGGGCCUCACCGCUUGGUGAUGCGCAAUGCCCUUUAUUGGGUGUUGCGAGUAGCCAAGACCUUUACCUUGAAAAAAUUAGAGUGUUUAAAGCAGGCAUAUGCCGGAAUACAUUAGCAUGGAAUAAUAGAAUAGGACAACGAUUCUAUUUUGUUGGUUUCUAGGACCGUUGUAAUGAUUAAUAGGGAUAGUUGGGGGCAUUAGUAUUCAAUUGUCAGAGGUGAAAUUCUUGGAUUUAUUGAAGACUAACUACU